UACGUAGGGUGCGAGCGUUAAUCGGAAUUACUGGGCGUAAAGCGUGCGCAGGCGGUUCGUUAAGUCAGAUGUGAAAGCCCCGGGCUCAACCCGGGAACUGCGUCCGAUACUGGCUGGCUUGAAUCCGGGAGAGGGAUGCGGAAUUCCAGGUGUAGCGGUGAAAUGCGUAGAUAUCUGGAGGAACACCGGUGGCGAAGGCGGGUCUCUGGGCCGAUACUGACGCUGAGGAGCGAAAGCGUGGGGAGCGAACAGG
rnacentral:rRNA from 1 species